UUUUACAUGAACACCUAAAUGCAAGAACCAAUUCAACAACAUAAAGAAUGAAAAAGCUGUUGAAUGCACUAUAUUGUCUUGUUUUUAUAUCCAAGAAACAGUUUUUUUUUUUCUAUCUCAUUCUUUUUGUCAA
rnacentral:ribozyme from 12 species